UACCCCUCCCCCCGCCGGCCUCGCCCCGCCCCGCCGGGCCUCUGAGCCCUGCGGGCGGGCCACCUCUUGCAGGGCCGAGUUGGGGACCGCGCCCGAAGUCCCCACCCCACCAAUUUAGGCUCCCGACCGCCCGCAGGGCUGCCGGCGUCCCCUGGUGGUAGAGCAGGCCCAGACCGCCUGUACCAUCCGAGGUCCCCCAAAGAAUCUGAAGUUACAGCAGUUUCUGCCUUGUCACUAAUCUGUGCUUCAGGAGACGUCCUUGGGUAUGCUUCCCAGGACAAGCAGGCCUGCCCUUCUGAAAAGAGAACCUGGAAACCUCCCAAGGGACCCAGAUCGCACAGCGAGGAAGCAAGGUGUGGGAGUUCUAGAUUUGAGUUCAAAGCCAACUCAGGAGAGAGGCCUAGGCCCUCCUAGACUGGGCAGCAGUUUCCUACUAAAGGUGUCAGAAGAGGACACUGGAUCACUUGGAAUUGUAGUUAUGGGUAGUUAUGAACCACCAUGUGGGUGCUGGCAACCAAGCAAAAAAUGGUAUUACCCUAUGUGCUCCUGGCUCACAGCUAACCUGCUGCACCACAAGCCCAUCCCCGCUGCCGCUGAGCCUCUCAGAACCAUCUGCCCAGCUGGGAGACUUCCACAGACCUCCCCACGGUUAUGGUCGCAGUUUCUAGCUGCAUGCACAGGACCGGCUCAGACUGCAGCCUACCCGCGCCCUGAGGCCUCCUGCCCUAGAGCCGAGUAGGCCUCGGCUUUCAGCAGGGUCUGAGCAGUGGCCUUAAAACCAUGCCUCAUUUAGUGGUUGUGGCCACAAGGCCAUACACUCUCUAAGCUAAGCACAGCUGCCUUUGUGACCUCUCUCCACCGCUGCCACCAAAUGCUGCACAGACUAACUGAAUGCCUGCACCACCUGCUGGAAAACUCAUCUCCAGAAGUCAAAGGACACUCCAUGGGUAGAUACUUAAGAAGAUAAGGUAGCUAUAACCAUCAAACAAAAGGAAAGUGCCAUAUGGUAAACUUUACAGCUGUCUCUCAGAGAACUCUAUUUCUCUUUAUUUCCUAGUCCCUAUUCAAUUAAACCAAUGCUGGAUUUAGAGUUGGAUUUGGCUUUCCUCCUCUAAAAUCCAAGCAUGUUUGUUGUUUAACUAAACUUUAGAGUUUCUGUAUUGUAUCAAGAAGCCAAUUGAUGUAAUACAGAAUAAGAAAGAAUUUGGAGACUGUCUUUGUCUUACCUUGGCUCUUUCUUUCAAGGUACACCCUCUCAUAAUUGUUAUUCUCCCAUUGUUGUCUUUUCCAGUAUGCAUAUUUAUACAAGCAAGCAUUCCUCUGCUAACAUUUAUGUUUGAGUCCCACACAGCCAAUGAAGACCUGCCUGACAGCAAUCCCUGGACACCCUGGAAAGAAAAUGGUCUACAUCUCCUCGACUGCACUGGGAUCCAACUUGCUCCAUUUCAACUGACACUCCGGCCAGAGGUUCGGGUACUGACUUCAUUCAAGUUGAGGAUUUCAAGCAAGAUCUUCAAUUAAGCGAAUCCCAACUAACAUGGACUGGAUACGAUCCAUUCAAGACUUUCACUAUACUAACAUUUUCUUCCUACAGGACCCUACAAGGCUGUUGUCAUCCCAUUUCAGCAGGAAGUAACUUGGAGGAUGCUAUGCCCCCAUUUCCCCUAUUGUUGUCAUUUAGGAUAGUGUAUAUACCUAGUUAGGGAUAGCUUCCUAUUGUUUAUGGUUGAGAUUGGAAGGAGGUAUUCAGGCUUGGACACCUUUUUCAGAUGACUUUAGGGUUUAGUUAAAAUAGACAUAGUUAGGAUGUGACAUAAGCAGAUUGUUGUAUCUUCUUAUAUUUCACCUUUAUGAUUGUUAAUUUUGGAUACUUUACACGGUUAAGUUUUAAUCCUCUUUUAAACUAAAAGGGGAAUUGUAGGGGAUGUUAUAGCCACGCCUGCUUAGGGGCUGGCUACAGGUGUGCCUGACCACGCCUGCAAGGGCGUGGUCAGGGGGACUAGAGUGAGGGAUGCUUACUUGAUGGGCUGCUUUUGCUUUCAUCUUUGGCUUGCUGUAUGAACUGCUGCCCCACUGGCUGGCUAGGUCACUCUGUAAGUAAGGCUUUUCCCUAUUAAAUUCCCUUGUAUUUUUACCUGGC
rnacentral:lncRNA from 1 species